CGCGCAGAUUCUCGCAAACCCGGAAGCGGAUCGCGUGGAGUGAGGGAUCCUCCGGGACGCGCGACUUAAUUCAAACCCACCUUUAAUAGUGGGGGCCCACGGGAUCAAGAGACAGCAGUAGAAAACCUGAGACAGAGAAAAGAGGAAUGAGAAACACCCAUAACAGAUGGCAAAGUAGAGGAUGGGUGAGGGAUUUGCUAAGAGACUGCAAAAGUGAAAAAAUAAAA